AAGGCUUUAAGUUAAUUAAACUAAUAGCCUUCAAAGCUGUAAAUAUAGGAUAUUCCCUUUAAGCCUUA
rnacentral:tRNA from 2 species